rnacentral:rRNA from 1 species
UACGUCAACAUCCUUAACGAACGUGGUCGAAACCCGGCCUACAAGAGGCGUGCUGAGAUCCUCAGUCCCGAUCGGCGUAUUGAAAGGGAAACGAUUGAAGUCAGUCGUACCUGCGGAUAAUCAGCCUUUAGGAUGCGAUUUUGUGGAGCGUGAGGAGCUAAUCGCCUUCAUGCCUGUAUAUUCGUGUACUUGGGGUGUACUUAUUCGUGUGGUAAGUUAACAUCAAUUUUGGUCGUCAUAAAAUGACUGGAGGAAUGUAGCUUCGAUCUCGUAUUGAAGUGUUAUAGCCUUUGGUAGAUGUGAUUAUCGGGAUUGAGGAUUGCAACGGAUACCCUUCGGGGCUACUUGUCUGAUCUCUGAUCGUUGCUCUGGUGCCGAAAGCGUGCUUACGGUUAUCAAAGUCGAUGGUUAAUAGGUUAGAACGGGUUAAAUUCGUUAAGGAUGUUGACGUA